GGAUGAACGUUAGCGGUGUGCCUAAUGCAUGCAAGUCGAACGAGAAGCUUUGGAUUCGUCUGAAGUGGACAGUGGCGGACGGGUGAGUAACACGUAGGGGACGUACCUCGGAGAGGGGGACAACCACUGGAAACGGUGGCUAAUACCCCGGAUGAUUUAGUGUUUGGAAAGCUUUAUCUAAAGCUCCGGCGCUCCAAGAGGGGCCUGCGGCCCAUCAGCUAGUUGGUAAGGUAAUGGCUUACCAAGGCAAAGACGGGUAGGGGGCGUGAGAGCGUGACCCCCCACACUGGUACUGAGACACGGACCAGAUACCUGCGGGUAGCAGCAGCAAGGAAUAUUGCGCAAUGGGCGAAAGCCUGACGCAGCAACACCGCGUGGAGGAUGAAGGCUUUCGGGUCGUAAACUCCUUUUCUGGGGGAAGAGAAAGGACGGUACCCCAGGAAUAAGUCUCGGCUAACUACGUGCCAGCAGCCGCGGUAAAACGUGGGAGGCAAGCGUUAUCCGGAAUUACUGGGCGUAAAGCGCAUGUAGGCGGUUGUUUAAGUCAGACGUGAAAGCUCCUGGCUCAACUAGGAGAGGUCGUUUGAAAACUAGGAAACUUGAUGAUGGUAAGAGGAGAGUGGAAUUCCCGGUGUAGUGGUGAAAUGCGUAGAUAUCGGGAGGAACACCAGUGGCGAAAGCGGCUCUCUGGGCCAUAACGGACGCUCAGAUGCGAAAGCUAGGGGAGAGAACGGGAUUAGAAACCCCGGUAUUCCUAGCCGUAAACGAUGUCAACUAGGUGUAGGGGGUAUCUUACCCCUUCUGUACUGUAGCUAACGCGUUAAGUUGACCGCCUGGGGACUACGGCCGCAAGGCUAAAACUCAAAGGAAUUGACGGGGACCCGCACAAGCAGCGGAGCGUGUGGUUUAAUUCGAGGCUACGCGAAGAACCUUACCAGGGCUUGACAUAUACGUGGUAGUGAUCUGAAAAGUGAACGACCCUUCGGGGAGCGUAUACAGGUGCUGCAUGGCUGUCGUCAGCUCGUGCCGUGAGGUGUUAGGUUAAGUCCUGUAACGAGCGCAACCCUCGUCGUUAGUUAUAAGUGUCUAACGAGACUGCCGGUGACAAACCGGAGGAAGGUGGGGAUGACGUCAAGUCAGCAUGGCCUUUAUAUCCUGGGCUACACACACGCUACAAUGGCCGGUACAAUGGGUAGCCAAACCGCGAGGUGGAGCCAAUCCCCCAAAGCCGGUCUCAGUUCGGAUUGUAGGCUGCAACUCGCCUACAUGAAGUCGGAGUUGCUAGUAACCGCGCGUCAGCAACAGUGCGGUGAAUACGUUCCCGGGCCUUGUACACACCGCCCGUCACGUCAUGGAAGUUGGCAACGCCUAAAGUCAGUGGGCUAACCCUAACGGGAGGCAACUGCCCAAGGCGGGGUCGGUAACUGGGAC
rnacentral:rRNA from 1 species